UUCAAAAAUAUUAAAACUAUACUCAAUUCAGCCUAAAAUUAAAACAAUUUUACACAUAUUGAAUAGUUUGAUAUCACAAGUUAAAGCUAUGCGUUUUAUCACUGGUUGACAGUUCAGUGGCAGUCAUAAAUUAUUGGUGUUGGUGCAGUCACAAACAUGUUUAUUUGAAAAAUCAUAAUUGCAGUGAGAACAACCAAGUAAUGAGGAUGUACUGAUUCAAGUAAAAUAAAACUAAAUAUAAAUAUUAAUUUUUACAGCAAAUCAUUUCAAUUUAGAAAAUGACGUUUGUGUAAAAUGGAUAAAAUAUGACUAAUUAAUGGAAUGUAACUAAAAAUAUACCAGUAUAAUAUAAAAAACCAUAUUUAUUUACCUCCACUAAAACAAGGACACAAAAGUAAUGGCCUGCUAAAUAUCUAAAUCAUAUGAGUUAUAUACAAAGAUUAUGAAUAUACAUAAAAGGUAUUCAGUAAAAAUAUUUGGUGAUUUAUUGAAAACCUUAAUAUGUAAUAAAAUAAUUUAAUAACAUCAAGUAACAUUUUUUAUACACAAAUAUAUAAGGCAGAGACCCUAGUAAUGAAAAUUAAAGUAACAUUUACAUGGUUAUCAUUUAUCUUAUAAAUGUGACAGUAAAAUACCUGCUAAUAAUGAUUUGCGGUACUAAUUUAAAAUGCUGUGGAAAUAACAAAAAUUUAAUGGGUAAAAUUUCACCAACUUCUGUUUACUGUACAUACUUAUACAUACAUGAAAUUGUUUAAUGUAAUUAAUAUGGCCAAUAAAAUUAAAACUAGCAACUAAAGUUGCCAUGACUAAAUUAAUUUGGUACCCAAGCAUAACUAUAGUUGUAAUACAAUUGUGAUUUUGUUCACCAACAAUAGAUACUUAAGGUUUAUUUAAUCUAAAAUUUAUUCACUGUUACCAUAGUCUGUAUUAUAUAAGAACGCACUAGUGUUGGCACAUUUAAAUGAAUCGCAGAGCAACGUUCAGCCCCCCUGGUGGAGUCUAUUAGCUUUUUUAUAUGUCACCGUGUUCAACACCAUCUACAGUGUUCCCACAACUAUGAAUACAGAAAAUUGAAGGAAGAAUGCGUUACAAAUAUUAUAAACAAUGCGACCAAAAAAUACAGUUAAAAUAGUGUGAUAAUGUACAACACUCUGUAUAAACAGUUGACCCUGCCACCGCCAAAACAUACGGAGG